rnacentral:rRNA from 1 species
UACGAAGGGAGCUAGCGUUGUUCGGAAUCACUGGGCGUAAAGCGCACGUAGGCGGAUUUGCCAGUCAGGGGUGAAAUCCCGGGGCUCAACCUCGGAACUGCCUUUGAUACAGCAAGUCUUGAGUUCGAGAGAGGUGGGUGGAAUUCCUAGUGUAGAGGUGAAAUUCGUAGAUAUUAGGAGGAACACCAGUGGCGAAGGCGGCUCACUGGACUGGUAUUGACGCUGAAGUGCGAAAGCGUGGGGAGCAAACAGG